rnacentral:rRNA from 1 species
GAUGAACGCUGGCGGCAUGCCUAACACACGCAAGUCGAUCGGUAAGGCUCUUCGGAGUACACGAGAGGCGGACGGCUGAGUAACGCGUAGGAACACACCCUGCAGUGAGGGAUAAGACACCGAAAGGUGUUCUAAUACCGCAUACGGUCUUCGGAUUAAAGCAUUUAUGCGCUGAAGGAGUGGCCUGCGUCAUAUUAGAUAGUUGGUGAGGUAAUGGCUCACCAAGUCGAUGAUGUGUAGCUGGUCUGAGAGGAUGAUCAGCCAGACUGGAACUGAGACACGGUCCAGACUCCUACGGGAAGCAGCAGUGAGGAAUAUUUCACAAUGAGCGAAAGCUUGAUGGAGCAAUGCCGCGUGCAGGAUGAAGGCCCUCGGGUUGUAAACUGCUUUUAUAAGAGAAGAUUAUGACGGUAACUUAUGAAUAAGGGACGGCUAACUACGUG